UUUUCAAAGAGAGAAGGAGAUUUCCGGUACACCGAAAUUCUUGUUUUGUAAUAUAGUUUCCGGCUAAGAUCCAGAUCUUUCUACCGGCUAAGUCCGGUUUUCUUUCUCGAUAAAAAGCGAGAUAAAGAUCUCUCAUCCAUUUACGUUUUCCGUUGACUUCGUGGGAGGAGCCCUGGGCUCUGACCGCGUGCCUGUUGAAGAAUAAGCCGGCGACUUCUCCGAUAAUCCUUUGCAAGUUUUCUUUGUUUCUUCAACUAUUCGAGGAGUAAUAUCUUUGUCACUUUUAUUUUUUUCAUAUCAUAGGAG
rnacentral:lncRNA from 1 species